rnacentral:rRNA from 1 species
UACGGGGGGGGCAAGCGUUGUUCGGAAUUACUGGGCGUAAAGGGCUCGUAGGCGGCCAACUAAGUCGGAUGUGAAAGCCCCGGGCUUAACCUGGGAAUGGCAUUUGGGACUGCAAGGCUUGAGUGCGGCAGAGGAGACUGGAAUUCCUGGUGUAGCAGUGAAAUGCGUAGAUAUCAGGAGGAAUACCGAUGGCGAAGGCAGGUCUCUGGGCUGACACUGACGCUCAUGCACGAAAGCGUGGGGAGCAAACAGG